rnacentral:rRNA from 1 species
UACGUAGGGGGCUAGCGUUGUCCGGAAUCAUUGGGCGUAAAGAGCGUGUAGGCGGUCCGGUAAGUCCGCUGUGAAAGUCGGGGGCUCAACCCUCGAAUGCCGGUGGAUACUGUCGGGCUAGAGUGCGGAAGAGGCGAGUGGAAUUCCGUGGUGUAGCGGUGAAAUGCGCAGAUAUCAAGAGGAACACCUGCGGCGAAGGCGGGUUGCUGGGCCGACACUGACGCUGAUGCGCGAAAGCUAGGGGAGCGAACGGG